rnacentral:rRNA from 1 species
UACGAAGGGGGCUAGCGUUGUUCGGAAUUACUGGGCGUAAAGCGUGCGCAGGCGGCUUCUCAAGUCAGGGGUGAAAGCCCAGAGCUCAACUCUGGAAUUGCCUUUGAGACUGAGUGGCUUGAGUACGGGAGAGGUGAGUGGAAUUCCCAGUGUAGAGGUGAAAUUCGGUAGAUAUUGGGAAGAACACCGGUGGCGAAGGCGGCUAUCUGGACCGUAACUGACGCUGAGGCGCGGAAAGCGUGGGGAGCAAACAGG